rnacentral:rRNA from 1 species
CGAACGAUGAAGCCCAGCUUGCUGGGUGGAUUAGUGGCGAACGGGUGAGUAACACGUGAGUAACCUGCCCUUAACUCUGGGAUAAGCCUGGGAAACUGGGUCUAAUACCGGAUAGGAGCGUCCACCGCAUGGUGGGUGUUGGAAAGAUUUAUCGGUUUUGGAUGGACUCGCGGCCUAUCAGCUUGUUGGUGAGGUAAUGGCUCACCAAGGCGACGACGGGUAGCCGGCCUGAGAGGGUGACCGGCCACACUGGGACUGAGACACGGCCCAGACUCCUACGGGAGGCAGCAGUGGGGAAUAUUGCACAAUGGGCGCAAGCCUGAUGCAGCGACGCCGCGUGAGGGAUGACGGCCUUCGGGUUGUAAACCUCUUUCAGUAGGGAAGAAGCGAAAGUGACGGUACCUGCAGAAGAAGCACCGGCUAACUACGUGCCAGCAGCCGCGGUAAUACGUAGGGUGCGAGCGUUAUCCGGAAUUAUUGGGCGUAAAGAGCUCGUAGGCGG